rnacentral:rRNA from 1 species
AUGAACGCUGGCGGCGUGCCUAAUACCUGCCAGUCGAGCGAACAGACAAGGAGCUUGCUCCUCUGACGUUAGCGGCGGACGGGUGAGUAACACGUGGAUAACCUACCUAUAAGACUGGGAUAACUUCGGGAAACCGGAGCUAAUACCGGAUAAUAUAUUGAACCGCAUGGUUCAAUAGUGAAAGACGGUUUUGCUGUCACUUAUAGAUGGAUCCGCGCCGCAUUAGCUAGUUGGUAAGGUAACGGCUUACCAAGGCAACGAUGCGUAGCCGACCUGAGAGGGUGAUCGGCCACACUGGAACUGAGACACGGUCCAGACUCCUACGGGAGGCAGCAGUAGGGAAUCUUCCGCAAUGGGCGAAAGCCUGACGGAGCAACGCCGCGUGAGUGAUGAAGUUCUUCGGAUCGUAAAACUCUGUUAUUAGGGAAGAACAAAUGUGUAAGUAACUAUGCACGUCUUGACGGUACCUAAUCAGAAAGCCACGGCUAACUACGUG